rnacentral:rRNA from 1 species
AACGAACGCUGGCGGCAUGCCUAACACAUGCAAGUCGAACGAGACCUUCGGGUCUAGUGGCGCACGGGUGCGUAACGCGUGGGAAUCUGCCCUUAGGUUCGGAAUAACUUCGGGGAACUGAAGCUAAUACCGGAUGAUGACGUAAGUCCAAAGAUUUAUCGCCUAAGGAUGAGCCCGCGUAGGAUUAGCUAGUUGGUGAGGUAAAGGCUCACCAAGGCGACGAUCCUUAGCUGGUCUGAGAGGAUGAUCAGCCACACGGUGGAUGAGACGACCCGGACCCGAAGUA